rnacentral:siRNA from 1 species
GUAUCCAAGCUUGCUUGCCUCCCU